UUCCAUGCCUAAUCAAUUCAUUUUGUCGUGGAUGCUGCUCAACGCUGCUGGGAUAAAGAUUGAUGCUCGUAAUGCCUACUGGUAGGCAUUACGAGACUAGAAAUAUAGCAAGCUGCUGCCAGUGUGCUGAGUGGUUAGCGGAAGGGUAAGCAGCGCAUUCAAGCUAAUGCAUCCGUGUCAGAUUCUUCCGCGGGCAAAUUGGAUUAAGCAAAAGACUGUGUGUCUUGGAUGGAAUGCUUCUUCAUAUGGCCGUAGCUGUCCAUGAGGCACACAUAAGCAUUCAUAAUUCUCAACGCCGAGACAAUAAGACGUGUACGCAUCGACCUUCUUUUCCAUGCACGCACCCCACCCAAUGCACAUCACCGUCGGUAGUUGGUGACGGACGUCUGCUCCCUCAUUUAAU